CCCCCCCCAACCUCCUCCACCGCCUCCUCCCACCUCCCAUCCACCAUCCACUGCUGGUGCCGCCCCAGCGCCCAGCCAACUCCCUCCCCGGGGCUUGCGGCGAGCCGCCCAUCUCCCCGGUCUUCCUCCCCCGCAAUCCAUUCCCACCCGUUCUCCCACCAGCUUCACCCCCACCGCGCCACUUCUCCACCAUGGCCCCGCCACCUCCCGGCGACCUAUGAGAUCCCAACAACCACCAGAUCGGGCGGGAUCCUCCUCCACCUCUCUCCUCCCGCGCCUACUCCGCCCUUCCUGCCGCCCCACCUUCCCCUCACCCUCACCUCCCCAUCCCAAUCUCUCACGCCGCUGGAUCGACGUCGGAAUGCUUCCACACAACCUCCAUCCACUUGGAACCCCCCCCCCCCCCCCCCCCCCCGGGCCAUGGCGCCCAUCGGCCCCCUGCUGGUCGCCAGAAUCUUCAGUUGCCGUCGAGGCCGGUGACCGUCGGAUCUGACCUCCACGGCGCCAGUAGCCACGGGAUCCGUGGACCAGCCGCGUGUGUGUUCCCCCACCGUCAGGCUCCUGGUGGCUCAACGACGAGCACCAUCUUCACUUGGGUGGGCAGCCCCGACAGCUGUGACGAGCACCUUCCCACAGGGAUCAACAACUUCACCCGCGGCUCCCCGAUUUCAUUGUUUUUGUGCGUGCGUUUUCACUGUUUUUUGCUGCAGGCAUCCCACCGGUGGCGCUGCCAUGCAAUUUAGGUAGUGCUCUUGCACAGCUCCUAGUCCACCUCGAUGCCGUCCAGACUGCAGGGCAGAUCAGGCAAGAACAGGGGCAUCACCGGCUAGUAGCUCCACCUCUCUCGAGUGGCCAUCGUCGUGCAGUUCUGCUGCCCGACACAUGCAGUCAACAGCGGGAGUGAUAGCUGUAGACCGUCAUAUGCUAGCUGUGCAGUGCGCCUCCAGAUGCAGUGCUGUCGGGAUCUGGAGCUUCACGCCCUUCAGCAGGGAGGUCCCGGUGAAGUUCAGAGACUCACUCUGUCAGUGCAGAAUUCAGACAUAUAGCAUUGCGUGUGGUUGUUUUGUAGUUUAGUGCACAAGUACAUGCACUUUUAGUGCGGUCCAGUGCGUGGAGUUUGCAGUUUGCCGCCUCCUAUUUGGGUAGCUGGUGACGAGGAGCUACAGUUUUCUACGAUGAUUAGGGGACACGGGCGAUUACUUGCAUGAUUGUUUGAAUUUUUUGUUGCUGAUUUAGAGCAGUUUUCAUAUUACCACUGAUCUGUUGGGUUUGUUCUUCAAGACGGUUCUAUAGUGCAGAUUCUUCUCUUGCAGUUAGUA